rnacentral:rRNA from 1 species
GACGAACCGAGCGAACGUUGUUCGGAAUCACUGGGCUUAAAGGGCGCGUAGGCGGGUGCUCAAGUCCGGGGUGAAAUCCUCCAGCUCAACUGGAGAACUGCCUCGGAUACUGGGUGCCUCGAGGGUGGUAGGGGUAUGCGGAACUAUCGGUGGAGCGGUGAAAUGCGUUGAUAUCGAUAGGAACUCCGGUGGCGAAGGCGGCAUACUGGACCACAUCUGACGCUGAGGCGCGAAAGCCAGGGGAGCAAAC